GAGCUCUUUCUGAGAUGAAGAGAACUCUCAAUGUCAAGAUUUCAACAAGAAGAGAAUGGAAUACACGAUACGGACAUCCAUAAAAAUUCUUCAGAGGGUGUUUUACUACUGAGCUGCAAAGGGAAAAACUUAAAAUGGAUAUGAAAAGUGAAGAAAGUGAUCAUAGGAGAAAACCAUUUCAGAUGACAAGAGCACCUCAAAGGCAGCAGCCUCAAGAAGCAGCCAUGGCCCCAGAGUUGUCCCACGGAUGCAGAAAACUUAAUGGAGGAGGCUGAGGUCAGAAUGGGAAGAGUUUUUAAAAAGUAAAAAGGGGAGCUAA
rnacentral:lncRNA from 1 species